GACGAACGCUGGCAGCGUGCUUAACACAUGCAAGUCGAACGCUGAAGCUCAGCUUGCUGGGUGGAUGAGUGGCGAACGGGUGAGUAACACGUGAGUAACCUGCCCUCUUCUUUGGGAUAACGCCCGGAAACGGGUGCUAAUACUGGAUAUUCACUGAUUCUCGCAUGGGGGUUGGUGGAAAGGUUUUUUCUGGUGGGGGAUGGGCUCGCGGCCUAUCAGCUUGUUGGUGGGGUGAUGGCCUACCAAGGCUUUGACGGGUAGCCGGCCUGAGAGGGUGACCGGUCACAUUGGGACUGAGAUACGGCCCAGACUCCUACGGGAGGCAGCAGUGGGGAAUAUAGCACAAUGGGCGAAAGCCUGAUGCAGCGACGCCGCGUGAGGGAUGGAGGCCUUCGGGUUGUAAACCUCUUUCGCUCAUGGUCAAGCCGCAGCUUUGGGUUGUGGUGAGGGUAGUGGGUAAAGAAGCGCCGGCUAACUACGUG
rnacentral:rRNA from 1 species